CCUACGGGUGGCAGCAGUGGGGAAUAUUGGACAAUGGGGGGAACCCUGAUCCAGCCAUGCCGCGUGUGUGAAGAAGGCCCUCGGGUUGUAAAGCACUUUCAGUGAGGAAGAACGCCUGGUGGUUAAUACCCAUCAGGAAAGACAUCACUCACAGAAGAAGCACCGGCUAACUCCGUGCCAGCAGCCGCGGUAAUACGGAGGGUGCGAGCGUUAAUCGGAAUUACUGGGCGUAAAGCGCGCGUAGGUGGCUUGAUAAGCCGGUUGUGAAAGCCCCGGGCUCAACCUGGGAACGGCAUCCGGAACUGUCAAGCUAGAGUGCAGGAGAGGAAGGUAGACUUCCCGGUGUAGCGGUGAAAUGCGUAGAGAUCGGGAGGAAUACCAGUGGCGAAGGCGGCCUUCUGGACUGACACUGACACUGAGGUGCGAAAGCGUGGGUAGCAAACAGGAUUAGAUACCCCGGUAGUC
rnacentral:rRNA from 1 species